AACGUUAUCGAUAAGAAGAGAGCGUCUAGGCGAACAAUGUUCUUAAAGUUUGACCUCAAAUCAGGUAGGAGUACCCGCUGAACUUAAGCAUAUCAAUAAGCGGAGGAAAAGAAACCAACCGGGAUUGCCUUAGUAACGGCGAGUGAAGCGGCAAAAGCUCAAAUUUGAAAUCUGGUACCUUUGGUGCCCGAGUUGUAAUUUGGAGAGGGCAACUUUGGGACCGUUCCUUGUCUAUGUUCCUUGGAACAGGACGUCAUAGAGGGUGAGAAUCCCGUGUGGCGAGGAGUGCGGUUCUAUGUAAAGUGCCUUCGAAGAGUCGAGUUGUUUGGGAAUGCAGCUCUAAGUGGGUGGUAAAUUCCAUCUAAAGCUAAAUAUUGGCGAGAGACCGAUAGCGAACAAGUACAGUGAUGGAAAGAUGAAAAGAACUUUGAAAAGAGAGUGAAAAAGUACGUGAAAUUGUUGAAAGGGAAGGGCAUUUGAUCAGACAUGGUGUUUUGCGCCCUCUGCUCCUUGUGGGUGGGGGAAUCUCGCAGUUCACUGGGCCAGCAUCAGUUUUGGUGGCAGGAUAAAUCCGUAGGAAUGUAACUUGCUUCGGGAAGUAUUAUAGCCUAUGGGAAUACUGCCAGCUGGGACUGAGGACUGCGACGUAAGUCAAGGAUGCUGGCAUAAUGGUUAUAUGCCGCCCGUCUUGAAACACGGACCAAGGAGUCUAACGUCUAUGCAAGUG
rnacentral:rRNA from 1 species